GAUGAACGCUAGCGGCAGGCCUAACACAUGCAAGUCGAGGGGCAGCACAGAAACAGCAAUGUUUUGGUGGCGACCGGCGGACGGGUGCGUAACGCGUAUGCAACCUACCUUUAACAGGGGGAUAACGGAGAGAAAUUUCCACUAAUACCCCAUAACAUCGAUCAAGGCAUCUUGAUUGGUUGAAAACUCCGGUGGUUAAAGAUGGGCAUGCGUUGUAUUAGGUAGUUGGUGAGGUAAUGGCUCACCAAGCUUACGAUACAUAGGGGGACUGAGAGGUUAGCCCCCCACACUGGUACUGUGAAACGGACCAGACUCAUACGGGAGGCAGCAGUGAGGAAUAUUGGUCAAUGGGGGCAACCCUGAACCAGCCAUGCCGCGUGCAGGAAGACGGCUCUAUGAGUUGUAAACUGCUUUUAAACAGGGAUAAAGCACAGUAUGUAUACUGUGUUGAAGGUACUGUAAGAAUAAGGAUCGGCUAACUCCGUGCCUGCCGCCGCGGUAA
rnacentral:rRNA from 1 species